UAAGCAUGAUUUGGAGACUCCUGAUGUUC
rnacentral:piRNA from 1 species